rnacentral:rRNA from 1 species
UACGAGGGGGGCGAGCGUUGUUCGGAAUUAUUGGGCGUAAAGGGUGCGUAGGCGGCCUGACAAGUCUGAUGUGAAAUCCCUGGGCUCAACCCAGGGCCUGCAUCGGAAACUGUCGGGCUUGAGUAUGGGAGAGGUGAGUGGAAUUUCCGGUGUAGCGGUGAAAUGCGUAGAUAUUCGGCGGAACACCAGUGGCGAAGGCGACUCACUGGCCCGAUACUGACGCUGAGGCGCGAAAGCGUGGGGAGCAAACAGG